UUUACUUCUAAAAACACUACAGCUAUGGCUACUGUGUUGCAUGUGCAUCAGCAGGUGGCAGAGAGGAGGGGGCUAUGUCUAUGCUCAGUGUUCUGACCUGUGAACAUUACUUGAGAAAAGCAAGCCUGAGAUG